rnacentral:rRNA from 1 species
GUGGGGAAUUUUGGACAAUGGGCGCAAGCCUGAUCCAGCAAUGCCGCGUGCAGGAAGAAGGCCUUCGGGUUGUAAACUGCUUUUGUACGGAACGAAACGGUCCUGGUUAAUACCUGGGGCUAAUGACGGUACCGUAAGAAUAAGCACCGGCUAACUACGUGCCAGCAGCCGCGGUAAUACGUAGGGUGCGAGCGUUAAUCGGAAUUACUGGGCGUAAAGCGUGCGCAGGCGGUGCUGUAAGACAGGCGUGAAAUCCCCGGGCUCCAACUGGUAAUUGCGCUUGUGACUGCAGUGCUGGAGUACGGCAGAGGGGGAUGGAAUUCCGCGUGUAGCAGUGAAAUGCGUAGAUAUGCGGAGGAACACCGAUGGCGAAGGCAGUCCCCUGGGCCUGUACUGACGCUCAUGCACGAAAGCGUGGGGAGCAAACAGGAUUAGAAACCCUAGUAGUCC